rnacentral:rRNA from 1 species
UCCAGACUCCUACGGGAGGCAGCAGUGGGGGAUAUUGCACAAUGGGGGAAACCCUGAUGCAGCGACGCCGCGUGGGCGAAGAAGUAUUUCGGUAUGUAAAGCCCUCUCAGCAGGGAAGAAGAAAUGACGAUACCUGAGUAAGAAGCACCGGCUAAAUACGUGCCAGCAGCCGCGGUAAUACGUAUGGUGCAAGCGUUAUCCGGAUUUACUGGGUGUAAAGGGAGCGUAGACGGCCAGACAAGUCUGAAGUGAAAAUCCAGCGCUUAACGUUGGAAGUGCUUUGGAAACUGCCGGGCUAGAGUGCAGGAGGGGCAGGCGGAAUUCCUAGUGUAGCGGUGAAAUGCGUAGAUAUUAGGAGGAACACCAGUGGCGAAGGCGGCCUGCUGGACUGCAACUGACGUUGAGGCUCGAAGGCGUGGGGAGCAAACAGGAUUAGAUACCCCGGUA